UAUAUAUAUAUAAUGAAAGUCGAUAUAUAUUGAAUGAAAGUCGGAAUAUAUGGAAUGUUAUAUAGAAUAUAUAGAAUGUUCAGAUUUUCAUUCCAUCUAUUCAAAGUUUCAUUCCAUAUAUUCAGACUUUUUCCUACUGAGCCCUGGAAGGACAUGGCAAACAAAAACAGGAGCCUUAUUGGACAUUUGCUCUUCAGAUGAGCUCUUCUGUGAUUAUCUAUCUGUCUUCAUGGUUGUCACAGGGAACGGCGACUACGUUUGAGAAAACAGCUGGUCUUAAGGCUAAUUACGAGGCAGAGGUCAGCUGCUGCCUGGACACAUCCAUGAUCACGCCACUGGUGGGACACAAUUGUACUGGAUUUCAGCUGAAGGCUGCUGUUCUGUCCAAACUGAGACAUUUUUAUUGUGACAUACCCUCCACUGUUGUUAGCUUUUGAUUCAAUAAAUUUUUUUGAGAUGAGGAAAUCACUAUUGCAUGUUUCUAGAUAAAUACCCUACUUUAAUGAUAUAUCACGACAGCAUGCACUUUUUAUAUUUUCCAUCAAUUUCACCCAAAAGUUGAAUAACUAUUUGUGAGCUGUGUAUGUAGACACAUAAUAGAAGCACAUUUCAAUAAUAUGUCUGCUGCAGUAGUGCAGUUUAUCUACCUAGAUUGGUGUAACAGUAAAAAAACAACAACAUAUGCUACUGAUGUUUCUGACUAAAAUCUGCUUGAAAAGCACAACUGCUUAUCUGUCAAAAUGUGUGUAACAAAAGUGUGCACUGAACACUGAAUAAAGUCUCUGUAGAUUAUAGACAAAAUUUGCAUCUC